UGUCUCUUUCCUUUUCUUUUUACACGUACAGCCUUCAUAACAUUUCCUUUUUCAUUUGAUUAACCAUAAUUAGCGAGUUUCCAUACUUUUUAGCAACCAUUAAUUGCUUUUAAUUCUCUCCUUAAUUUUUUCGAGAGUUACACGGUUUCAGUUUUUAAAUCAAUCAUGAACCUAGUCCCCCUUGUUAACCAAAGAAAACGCAUACGACUUUUGUUACGAAGGUUUCCAAAAGACGAGUCCGAAACCCGGUUAUAAAUACGGCAUAUGGUUUGGUUUGAGAAAGACACACCACUCGAAAACUCUCUCUCUCUCUCGUUGAUAUAAGGUCGCCGGAGGAACCGAGCUCACCGGGAACACGAAGAACUCGCCGGAGUUCGAGGAAACGACGCCGGAGUUACAUUGGACUCACUGUUCGGAUAAUCGCUCUCGCUCGUUCUCUUUGAUUAUUUCCCAAUCGUACUCGUGUGUUACUUACAAGAAAUCGCAACGCAACCACUGUUGAUAGACAAGAUGAUGAAGAAGCAAGUUGAUAGACAAGAUGAUGAAGAAGCAAGUUAGGGUGGACUAGAAACUCGCCUAGAAAAUAAACUAUGUUUGAAAUUUGAUUUAUGUUUUGAUCAUGUUGAACAAUGUAUGACAUUUUAGUCAUUUAUGAAAUUUGAUUUAAUCAAUAUUGUC
rnacentral:lncRNA from 1 species